CUUGAGGUGAGGCCGCUCCAGAGCAGAGCGGGACAAUCCUUUCCCUUGCCCAGCUGGUGCUGCUGUACCUGAUGCCCCCCAGGACAGGAUUGGCCUUCCUGGCUACCAGGGCACUGCUGGCUCACAUUCAACUUGCCAUCCACCAUGACCAGCACUUUCUGCAGUGCUGCUCUCCAGAUGCUUUUUCCCCAGUCUGUCUAUACAUCCAGAAUUGCUCCAUCCCAGAAAAUUCUAAGCUGAGACAUGUAGAAAAAGAUGUUUUGAUUCCACAAAUAAUGAGGGAUCGAGCCAAGGUGCUGUGUUCAGAUAAGGUGCAAGUCUUUCAAAGCUCAAGAAGGAUAGAAGUUACUCCAUCCUGUUCUGCAGUGUUCAGAGAGGAGACCCUUCAUUUACUAAAUGCUGUCAAGAAACUGGUGUUCUGAUGGUGGUCAAGUGUCGGCAGGAGAACACAGCACUGAAGGACUGUCUGGUUGGCUACUAUUCUGAUCCAUCAUUCUAUGAAGAAUGCAAAGCAGAAUAUUUGAAGCAAAGAGAAGAAUACAGAGCAACUGGAAUUAAGAAAAAAAGACAGAAGUUUACUCAAAAUGUGUGAUUAAAACUUAAAAUGAACUUUUUUUAUAUGCAAUUUGGAUUUCACUUGAUUUAAACAGACUUAAAUUGUCUGUACCACUCUGUGUGGCAUUUAACUGAAACAUGCAAAAUGAGAUGAAUGGAGAAUAAAAUAAUGUCUGAAAUUAAGAGUCAAUUUAAAACCUUUUCAUAAUUAAAGAUCUAGAGCAUGCUACCACAGUUUGCAAGAGAGAUUACAAAGGUGUGUUCCUUUAUCUGGACUUGAGAUUUUGUUACCAGUGUACAAUUUGGAGUUUACAAUUCCAGAAUGUCCAUUUGGAAUUUAAAGCCUGUAUCUAGCUACAUGAGCCAGGCUACAUAAAAACUCAAGGGUGAGUUAAGUUGUAUCAGCUGAUCACAGAUGGGGUGUCCACUGAAGUUGGUCUGUUAGUCACCAUCUGAAGCUGAUUGUGUAUGGAGAUGCACUUACUAGAAGAGAAUGGUGGCAAAUGCAGAAGAACUACUCAAACCAAUGUGAAUUACCCUCUUCAUUAAAAUGUUGUCAGAUGAGA